AUUGAACGCUGGCGGCAUGCCUUACACAUGCAAGUCGAACGGCAGCACGGGGCAACCUGGUGGCGAGUGGCGAACGGGUGAGUAAUGCAUCGGAACGUACCUUUCAGUGGAGGAUAACGUAGCGAAAGUUACGCUAAUACCGCAUAUUCUGUGAGCAGGAAAGCAGGGGAUCGCAAGACCUUGCGCUGAUUGAGCGGCCGAUGUCAGAUUAGCUAGUUGGUGAGGUAAAGGCUCACCAAGGCGACGAUCUGUAGCGGGUCUGAGAGGAUGAUCCGCCACACUGGAGCUGAGCCACGGUCCAGACUCCUACGGGAGGCAGCAGUGGGGAAUUUUGGACAAUGGGGGCAACCCUGAUCCAGCCAUGCCGCGUGAGUGAAGAAGGCCUUCGGGUUGUAAAGCUCUUUCGGCCGGGAAGAAAUCGCACGGGCUAAUACCCUGUGUGGAUGACGGUACCGGAAUAAGAAGCACCGGCUAACUACGUGCCAGCAGCCGCCGUAACAC
rnacentral:rRNA from 1 species